AGACAGUUCAUGUAUUUAUCUCUUUAGUUCUUAUCACACAUGCUUUCCAGGAGGUGCAGGAGAGAAGCGAUAGCGUCUACUGCGUCUUUUGCUAGACAAGGGGAGAGGAAGCAUGCUGUAUGUAUGGAGAUACUUAUUUAGGUUAUAAAUUUACCACUCACAGUCUCUAAGUUGGAUUGCCCAUCGGCAGUGAUUUGCUCUGUUACAGUAUUUAGUUUUGUUUCAAAAGCCAUUGGUGAUUUUAACUCUCUCCCUCCUUGUGGGCUCUAGUCUUAAAUCCUACAGGACUGACACUAAAUUCGUCACCUUUCUUCUCCUUCCCUCCAUUUCUCCCCACAGUUUCCUUCACAUGGACCACAUUGUUAAGAGUAGCAGCUCACACCGGAGUCUGGUCUGUCUGGAUUUCAACAGGCUAAUGGCCAGAAAGAAAUCACUGUCUACUGAACAGAAGCUAGUUUACGUCCUGAUAAAUAGAAAGAUACAGAAGGGUGUUGGCUUAAGAGUAAGUGACACCCCCACCUUCUUCAACCCUCUGCACUUCUCAGUCUCAUUCCUCAGACAACCAUAAGUAACAGAUUCCUGAAUACCCUGAAUAUCC
rnacentral:lncRNA from 10 species